AGCAGCCGCGGUAAUUCCAGCUCCAAUAGCGUAUAUUAAAGUUGUUGCAGUUAAAAAGCUCGUAGUUGAAUUUCGGGGUCAGUAGGUCGGUCGUGCCACUGGUAUGAACUGGUUUUACUGAUUCCUCCCUCUUGAAGAACUGUAAUGCCAUUAAUUUGGUGUUGCAGGGAAUCAGGACUGUUACUUUGAAAAAAUUAGAGUGUUUAAAGCAGGCUUUAGCUUGAAUACAUUAGCAUGGAAUAAUGAAAUAGGACGUUUGAUCCUAUUUUGUUGGUUUCUAGGAUUGACGUAAUGAUUAAUAGGGAUAGUUGGGGGCAUUAGUAUUCAAUUGUCAGAGGUGAAAUUCUUGGAUUUAUUGAAGACUAACUACUGCGAAAGCAUUUGCCAAGGAUGUUUUCAUUAAUCAAGAACGAAAGUUAGGGGAUCGAAGACGAUCAGAUACCGUCGUAGUCUUAACCAUAAACUAUGCCGACUAGGGAUCGGAUGAUGUUAAUUUUUUAAUGACUCAUUCGGCGCCUUA
rnacentral:rRNA from 1 species